CUGCGGCAGCGACGCUUAUGCGUUGUUGGGUAGGGGAGCGUUCUGUAAGCCUGCGAAGGUGGCCUGUGAGGGUUGCUGGAGGUAUCAGAAGUGCGAAUGCUGACAUAAGUAACGAUAAAGCGGGUGAAAAGCCCGCUCGCCGGAAGACCAAGGGUUCCUGUCCAACGUUAAUCGGGGCAGGGUGAGUCGACCCCUAAGGCGAGGCCGAAAGGCGUAGUCGAUGGGAAACGGGUUAAUAUUCCCGUACUUGGUGUUACUGCGAAGGGGGGACGGAGAAGGCUAUGUUGGCCGGGCGACGGUUGUCCCGGUUUAAGCGUGUAGGUGUGUGUUCCAGGUAAAUCCGGUUCACUUUAACACUGAGGCGUGACGACGAGGCACUACGGUGCUGAAGCAACAAAUGCCCUGCUUCCAGGAAAAGCCUCUAAGCAUCAGGUAACAUCAAAUCGUACCCCAAACCGACACAGGUGGUCAGGUAGAGAAUACCAAGGCGCUUGAGAGAACUCGGGUGAAGGAACUAGGCAAAAUGGUGCCGUAACUUCGGGAGAAGGCACGCUGACACGUAGGUGAAGUGAUUUACUCAUGGAGCUGAAGUCAGUCGAAGAUACCAGCUGGCUGCAACUGUUUAUUAAAAACACAGCACUGUGCAAACACGAAAGUGGACGUAUACGGUGUGACGCCUGCCCGGUGCCGGAAGGUUAAUUGAUGGGGUCAGCGCAAGCGAAGCUCCUGAUCGAAGCCCCGGUAAACGGCGGCCGUAACUAUAACGGUCCUAAGGUAGCGAAAUUCCUUGUCGGGUAAGUUCCGACCUGCACGAAUGGCGUAAUGAUGGCCAGGCUGUCUCCACCCGAGACUCAGUGAAAUUGAACUCGCUGUGAAGAUGCAGUGUACCCGCGGCAAGACGGAAAGACCCCGUGAACCUUUACUAUAGCUUGACACUGAACAUUGAGCCUUGAUGUGUAGGAUAGGUGGGAGGCUUUGAAGUGUGGACGCCAGUCUGCAUGGAGCCGACCUUGAAAUACCACCCUUUAAUGUUUGAUGUUCUAACGUGGACCCGUUACCCGGGUUGCGGACAGUGUCUGGUGGGUAGUUUGACUGGGGCGGUCUCCUCCUAAAGAGUAACGGAGGAGCACGAAGGUUGGCUAAUCCUGGUCGGACAUCAGGAGGUUAGUGCAAUGGCAUAAGCCAGCUUGACUGCGAGCGUGACGGCGCGAGCAGGUGCGAAAGCAGGUCAUAGUGAUCCGGUGGUUCUGAAUGGAAGGGCCAUCGCUCAACGGAUAAAAGGUACUCCGGGGAUAACAGGCUGAUACCGCCCAAGAGUUCAUAUCGACGGCGGUGUUUGGCACCUCGAUGUCGGCUCAUCACAUCCUGGGGCUGAAGUAGGUCCCAAGGGUAUGGCUGUUCGCCAUUUAAAGUGGUACGCGAGCUGGGUUUAGAACGUCGUGAGACAGUUCGGUCCCUAUCUGCCGUGGGCGCUGGAGAACUGAGGGGGGCUGCUCCUAGUACGAGAGGACCGGAGUGGACGCAUCACUGGUGUUCGGGUUGUCAUGCCAAUGGCACUGCCCGGUAGCUAAAUGCGGAAGAGAUAAGUGCUGAAAGCAUCUAAGCACGAAACUUGCCCCGAGAUGAGUUCUCCCUGAGACUUAGAGUCUCCUGAAGGAACGUUGAAGACGACGACGUUGAUAGGCCGGGUGUGUAAGCGCAGCGAUGCGUUGAGCUAACCGGUACUAAUGAACCGUGAGGCUUAACCUUACAACGCCGAAG
rnacentral:rRNA from 2 species